rnacentral:rRNA from 1 species
AUUGAACGCUGCGGCAUGCCUUACACAUGCAAGUCGAACGGCAGCACGGGUGCUUGCACCUGGUGGCGAGUGGCGAACGGGUGAGUAAUACAUCGGAACGUACCUUAUCGUGGGGGAUAACGCAGCGAAAGCUGUGCUAAUACCGCAUACGCCCUGAGGGGGAAAGCGGGGGAGCGAAAGACCUCGCGCGAUUAGAGCGGCCGAUGCCUGAUUAGCUUGUUGGUGGGGUAAAAGCCCACCAAGGCGACGAUCAGUAGCUGGUCUGAGAGGACGAUCAGCCACACUGGGACUGAGACACGGCCCAGACUCCUACGGGAGGCAGCAGUGGGGAAUUUUGGACAAUGGGGGCAACCCUGAUCCAGCAAUGCCGCGUGAGUGAAGAAGGCCUUCGGGUUGUAAAGCUCUUUUGUCAGGGAAGAAACACCGGCUCUAACACAGUCCGGGAAUGACGGUACCUGAAGAAUAAGCACCGGCUAACUACGUGCCAGCCGCCGCGGUAA